rnacentral:rRNA from 1 species
GUGGGGAAUAUUGGACAAUGGGGGGAACCCUGAUCCAGCCAUGCCGCGUGUGUGAAGAAGGCCUUUUGGUUGUAAAGCACUUUAAGCGAGGAGGAGGCUACCGAGAUUAAUACUCUUGGAUAGUGGACGUUACUCGCAGAAUAAGCACCGGCUAACUCUGUGCCAGCAGCCGCGGUAAUACAGAGGGUGCAAGCGUUAAUUGGAUUUACUGGGCGUAAAGCGCGCGUAGGUGGCCAAUUAAGUCAAAUGUGAAAUCCCCGAGCUUAACUUGGGAAUUGCAUUCGAUACUGGUUGGCUAGAGUAUGGGAGAGGAUGGUAGAAUUCCAGGUGUAGCGGUGAAAUGCGUAGAGAUCUGGAGGAAUACCGAUGGCGAAGGCAGCCAUCUGGUCUAAUACUGACACUGAGGUGCGAAAGCAUGGGGAGCAAACAGGAUUAGAAACCCUGGUAGUCC